CCCUACGGGGUGCAGCAGGCGCGAAACCUUUACAAUGCACGCAAGUGUGAUAAGGGGAUCCUGAGUGCUUAUGCAUUGCAUAGGCUUUUUUCAAGGGUAAAUACCUUGGAGAAUAAGUGGUGGGCAAUACCUGUGCCAGCCGCCGCGGUAACCCAGGAGCCACAAGUGGCAACCGCUUUUAUUAGGCCUAAAGCGUCCGUAGCCGGUUAUGUAAAUCUUCUGUGAAAUCGUUUGGCUUAACCUAACGGCAGGCAGAAGAGACUGCAUAACUAGGGACCGGGAGGAGUGAGAGGUAUUUUGGGGGGAGCGGUAAAAUGCUAUAAUCCUCGAAGGACCACCUGUGGCGAAGGCGUCUCACUAGAACGGAUCUAACGGUGAGGGACGAAAGCUAGGGGAGCAAACCGGAUUAGAUACCCGAGUAGUCCUAGCUGUAAACUCUGCGAGCUAAGUGUUGCAUAUUCCUCGGGAAUGUGCAGUGUCGUAGCGAAGGUGUUAAGCUCGCCGCCUGGGAAGUAUGGUCGCAAGGCUGAAACUUAAAGGAAUUGGCGGGGGAGCACUACAAGGGGUGCGGCGUGCG
rnacentral:rRNA from 1 species